rnacentral:rRNA from 1 species
GAUGAACGCUGGCGGCGUGCCUAAUACAUGCAAGUCGAGCGAACGGACGAGAAGCUUGCUUUUCUGAUGUUAGCGGCGGACGGGUGAGUAACACGUGGAUAACCUACCUAUAAGACUGGGAUAACUUCGGGAAACCGGAGCUAAUACCGGAUAAUAUUUUGAACCGCAUGGUUCAAAAGUGAAAGACGGUCUUGCUGUCACUUAUAGAUGGAUCCGCGCUGCAUUAGCUAGUUGGUAAGGUAACGGCUUACCAAGGCAACGAUGCAUAGCCGACCUGAGAGGGUGAUCAGCCACACUGGAACUGAGACACGGUCCAGACUCCUACGGGAGGCAGCAGUAGGGAAUCUUGCGCAAUGGGCGAAAGCCUGACGGAGCAACGCCGCGUGAGUGAUGAAGGUCUUCGGAUCGUAAAACUCUGUUAUUAGGGAAGAACAGAUGUGUAAGUAACUGUGCACAUCUUGACGGUACCUAAUCAGAAAGCCACGGCUAACUACGUG